rfam:Schistosoma margrebowiei strain Zambia genome assembly, scaffold: SMRZ_contig0008485
AUCUAGCUGACGAGUCCGAAAUGGGACGAAACACGCGUCCUCGAU